rnacentral:misc_RNA from 1 species
GAGUGUAUUGAUGUGCACAAAGGAACACCCCAUUUUGCAGUUAGCAUUGCAUGAUGAUGGCAUUUGGGUGGCCACAACUGAUUCAUCUGUACAUAGGUGGGCUGCAGAAGUGCGUAAUCCCCAGAAAGUUUUCCAAAGAGGGGGCUCAUUCUUGGCUGGAAACUUGUCCUUUUCCCGGGCAAGGGUUUCUCUAGAAGGAUCUACACCUGUUCCUGUUUAUAAAGAACCAUCUCUUAGCAUUCCUGGAACUCCAGGAAUAGUGCAGCAUGAGAUUUUGAACAACAGAAGACAUGUCCUGACUAAGGAUACUGCU